UUUAUGGAGAGUUUGAUCCUGGCUCAGGAUGAACGCUGGCGGCGUGCCUAAUACAUGCAAGUCGAGCGAACGGACGAGAAGCUUGCUUCUCUGAUGUUAGCGGCGGACGGGUGAGUAACACGUGGAUAACCUACCUAUAAGACUGGGAUAACUUCGGGAAACCGGAGCUAAUACCGGAUAAUAUUUUGAACCGCAUGGUUCAAAAGUGAAAGACGGUCUUGCUGUCACUUAUAGAUGGAUCCGCGCUGCAUUAGCUAGUUGGUAAGGUAACGGCUUACCAAGGCAACGAUGCAUAGCCGACCUGAGAGGGUGAUCGGCCACACUGGAACUGAGACACGGUCCAGACUCCUACGGGAGGCAGCAGUAGGGAAUCUUCCGCAAUGGGCGAAAGCCUGACGGAGCAACGCCGCGUGAGUGAUGAAGGUCUUCGGAUCGUAAAACUCUGUUAUUAGGGAAGAACAUAUGUGUAAGUAACUGUGCACAUCUUGACGGUACCUAAUCAGAAAGCCACGGCUAACUACGUGCCAGCAGCCGCGGUAAUACGUAGGUGGCAAGCGUUAUCCGGAAUUAUUGGGCGUAAAGCGCGCGUAGGCGGUUUUUUAAGUCUGAUGUGAAAGCCCACGGCUCAACCGUGGAGGGUCAUUGGAAACUGGAAAACUUGAGUGCAGAAGAGGAAAGUGGAAUUCCAUGUGUAGCGGUGAAAUGCGCAGAGAUAUGGAGGAACACCAGUGGCGAAGGCGACUUUCUGGUCUGUAACUGACGCUGAUGUGCGAAAGCGUGGGGAUCAAACAGGAUUAGAUACCCUGGUAGUCCACGCCGUAAACGAUGAGUGCUAAGUGUUAGGGGGUUUCCGCCUCUUAGUGCUGCAGCUAACGCAUUAAGCACUCCGCCUGGGGAGUACGACCGCAAGGUUGAAACUCAAAGGAAUUGACGGGGACCCGCACAAGCGGUGGAGCAUGUGGUUUAAUUCGAAGCAACGCGAAGAACCUUACCAAAUCUUGACAUCCUUUGACAACUCUAGAGAUAGAGCCUUCCCCUUCGGGGGACAAAGUGACAGGUGGUGCAUGGUUGUCGUCAGCUCGUGUCGUGAGAUGUUGGGUUAAGUCCCGCAACGAGCGCAACCCUUAAGCUUAGUUGCCAUCAUUAAGUUGGGCACUCUAAGUUGACUGCCGGUGACAAACCGGAGGAAGGUGGGGAUGACGUCAAAUCAUCAUGCCCCUUAUGAUUUGGGCUACACACGUGCUACAAUGGACAAUACAAAGGGCAGCGAAACCGCGAGGUCAAGCAAAUCCCAUAAAGUUGUUCUCAGUUCGGAUUGUAGUCUGCAACUCGACUACAUGAAGCUGGAAUCGCUAGUAAUCGUAGAUCAGCAUGCUACGGUGAAUACGUUCCCGGGUCUUGUACACACCGCCCGUCACACCACGAGAGUUUGUAACACCCGAAGCCGGUGGAGUAACCUUUUAGGAGCUAGCCGUCGAAGGUGGGACAAAUGAUUGGGGUGAAGUCGUAACAAGGUAGCCGUAUCGGAAGGUGCGGCUGGAUCACCUCCUUU
rnacentral:rRNA from 1 species